UACACGUAAGACGUCAGUUCAGUAGUACGGAAAUUUUUUACCGUAAUUGUGUUGUUCAAAAUUGAAACUGAAGAAAAUUGUGGAAAGUGAAACGUCGGUAGAUAUGUCGAGCUUCAUUAUUCAAGUAGAUCAACAGGCUACCCCAAGAACGAAAAGGAAAUUACUUGAAGAAAUAGAUUCAACUGAUAAUGCUUGCCUGAAGAGGUUAAACAAUGAAGAUUAUUUGAGCACAGGAAACUGGAGACUUUCAACUGCAGUCGAAGUAGUGAAUUUAAAUGGACAAACUAUCUCUUUAAACACUGCAGCAUUUAAAUGGAUAAAAAUACAGAUUAUUGAUAUGAAUGAGUCUUGUACUUCCAGGAAUGAAAAUAAUACAAUAGAAAUUACUCUUCAAAAUACUGCCAGUAUUUUCAAGAAGAUUUCUGUGAGUGGUACUUGCAUGGAUUCUAAUUUAGACUUUUCUAAAUGUAUUAAACUAUCGGAACAUUCAGUGACAGAAUUUAAACAUAAUGACGAUACCGACGACUUCUGCAAUAACGAUCUUUCGUGGCUUAUAAAUUUUAAAACUAAUGCAUUGCCUAACGCAGCUGAAGUCGAACACAGUCACAAAAACAAAGGAGGAAAAGAGGAAGAAACUGCAUACCUAGGAAGGAGAAUAGAAUUAAGUGGUAGUGGCGUAAUUCACCCGAAACUUACCAGGAAAAACUGAGGAAAACCAAGAAAAUUUCUCAAGAAUCUGUCAUGAUAUGCAGCUCGUGUAGAGAGAUAUGAACCGCUGACCAGCAGAAUUAUAACUGAGAAUUGCUAACCAUUUGACAGCGAUAUUCAAUGCUGGAAAAAUCCGAUACCCAGAAGUUGGCCUGGCAUCUUCGUGCAUUGGGGCGACAGAGACUUCACCCUCGCGUGAUCGGGCGUGUCCUCCAGCUGUUGUGAACGACGAGAAUUGUUACUCUGCACUUACGAGACCACCGUUCACAUAUGCUGAAAUGAUAGAAAAAGCUCUUUUGGAGAAUGGAGAACUUACAGUUUCUCAAAUCUACCAAUGGAUUUCAAAACACUUCACGUACUUCAAAGCCAAUGAUAACACAUGGAAGAAUUCGGUCCGACACAAUUUAACAACCAAACCAAUUUUCUCGAAAGGUGCAAAAGGACCACGUGGAGCUGGUCGCAUCUGGACACUUGCGAGUAAAAAUUAAAAUUUCCAGUAAAUCCUGGAAAGAAUUUGUAAAAAAUUAUCUUUUCUUUUGGCAUGUUUCUUGAUUUUACGUAUUGCUAGAUAAUUUUUUUAGAGGUUUCUUUCAUCAACAAGGAUAAAUUACAACAUACAGCUGGGAUGAAAAACAUGAACUUCGAUGAUUUUAAGAACUCGUCAACUUUUAAAUACACCUGUGAAUUGCAAUACAAAGAGUUAUAAACUUAACAAAUAAUAACAUCUUGAAUAAAGUCAAUGAUAUCUCUUGUUUGACAAUAAUUUUGAACCUAGAGUAACAAAACUAUUUGCAAUUCAAUUGAUUUAUUUUAGUGUUUGCCAACAGCAAGAAGCCAAUAUCAGGAAAACACUGAUAAUACGUACAAUAAUAAUAAAAUAUUUCACAAACAGAUUAACUAAACA